GGCGAUCAGAUACCGCCCUAGUUCUGACCGUAAACGAUGCCAACUAGCGAUCCGCCAGUCGACUCAUCGCUCUGGUGGGGAGCUUCCCGGAAACGAAAGUCUUCCGGUUCCGGGGGAAGUAUGGUUGCAAAGCUGAAACUUAAAGGAAUUGACGGAAGGGCACCACCAGGAGUGGAGCCUGCGGCUUAAUUUGACUCAACACGGGGAAACUCACCCGGCCCGGACACCGUAAGGAUUGACAGAUUGAUAGCUUUUUCAUGAUUCGGUGGAUGGUGGUGCAUGGCCGUUCUUAGUUCGUGGGGCGAUUUGUCUGGUUUAUUCCGAUAACGAGCGAGACUCUGGCCUACUAAAUAGUUGACGCAUUGCCACUGUGCGCACAACUUCUUAGAGGGAUUUUCGGUGUUUUCAACCGCACGAAAUUGAGCAAUAACAGGUCUGUGAUGCCCUUAGAUGUCCGGGGCUGCACGCGCGCUACACUGGCAAACGCAACGUGCCUGUCCUGCCCCGAAAGGAGCGGGUAAACCCCUGAAAUUUUGCCGUGAUUGGGAUCGGACAUUGCAACUAUUGUCCGUGAACGAGGAAUUCCUUGUAGGGGCGAGUCAUCAACUCGUCCCGAAUACGUCCCUGCCCUUUGUA
rnacentral:rRNA from 1 species